rnacentral:rRNA from 1 species
CUCGAUCACUCCUACGGGAGGCAGCAGUGGGGAAUAUUGCACAAUGGGGGAAACCCUGAUGCAGCCAUGCCGCGUGUGUGAAGAAGGCCUUCGGGUUGUAAAGCACUUUCAGUAGGGAGGAAGGUAGUGUAGUUAACACCUGCACUAUUUGACGUUACCUACAGAAGAAGCACCGGCUAACUCCGUGCCAGCAGCCGCGGUAAUACGGAGGGUGCGAGCGUUAAUCGGAAUUACUGGGCGUAAAGCGCAUGCAGGCGGCCUGUUAAGUCAGAUGUGAAAGCCCGGGGCUUAACCUCGGAAUUGCAUUUGAAACUGGCAGGCUAGAGUCUUGUAGAGGGGGUAGAAUUUCAGGUGUAGCGGUGAAAUGCGUAGAGAUCUGAAGGAAUACCAGUGGCGAAGGCGGCCCCCUGGACAAAGACUGACGCUCAGAUGCGAAAGCGUGGGGAGCAAACAGGAUUAGAUACCCUGGUAG